rnacentral:lncRNA from 1 species
GUUUUAUUAUCCCUGCUUUAACAGAGGGAGGACUUGAAUCUCGAGUUAAAGUAAUUUGCUCAGGAUUGUAAGGUCUUUUGUGAAGACUUUGAAGUUGCAGGUUCAUUCUGCCGCCAUAUACGUAACAUUCUAAGGUCUGCUUUUUAUAAGACAUAAUAGCUGACACUAUGAGCAAAAGAGACAGAGCUGUUGCCAUUAUGUGGCUUACAGUUUAAUGAAGAAGAUGGACAACAAUCUCACAAGUAAAUCUAUACCUACAAAGUAUGAGAAGUCCUGAAAAAGGAAGGUACAGGUAACUGGGAAGGAAUACAUGAUUAACUCUAUGGUGUCAGGGGGGCUUCAUUCCCUCCAAUUAAUGUUUUCUUCCAGAAUUUCCUUUACUAGAUAUAUUCUACAAA